rnacentral:ncRNA from 17 species
UACUUAUCAAGAGUGGUGGAGGGACUGGCCCUGUGAAACCCGGCAACCAAUAUUUAUUAGAUGAUAUGAGGUGCCAAAUCCUGCAGUUUUUAUGACUGGUAGAUAAGGU